rnacentral:rRNA from 1 species
GACGUAGGGGGCGAGCGUUGUCCGGAUUUAUUGGGCGUAAAGCGUGCGUAGGCGGCUGCGCAAGUCGGGUGUGAAACCCCGGGGCUCAACCCCGGAACUGCAUCCGAUACUGCGUGGCUAGAGGUAGGUAGGGGAGAUCGGAAUUCCUGGUGUAGCGGUGAAAUGCGCAGAUAUCAGGAGGAACACCGGUGGCGAAGGCGAGUCCCUGGACAAGACCUGACACUGAGGCACGAAAGCCAGGGGAGCAAACAGG